GACGAACGCUGGCGGCGUGCUUAAUACAUGCAAGUCGAACGGAAAGGCCCCCUUGUGGGGUACUCGAGUGGCGAACGGGUGAGUAACACGUGAGUAACCUACCCUUGACUUUGGGAUAACUUCAGGAAACUGGGGCUAAUACCGGAUAGGAGCUCCUGCUGCAUGGUGGGGGUUGGAAAGUUUCGGCGGUUGGGGAUGGACUCGCGGCUUAUCAGCUUGUUGGUGGGGUAGUGGCUCACCAAGGCUUUGACGGGUAGCCGGCCUGAGAGGGUGACCGGCCACAUUGGGACUGAGAUACGGCCCAGACUCCUACGGGAGGCAGCAGUGGGGAAUAUUGCACAAUGGGCGGAAGCCUGAUGCAGCAACGCCGCGUGCGGGAUGACGGCCUUCGGGUUGUAAACCGCUUUCGCCUGUGAUGAAGCGUGAGUGACGGUAAUGGGUAAAGAAGCACCGGCUAACUACGUG
rnacentral:rRNA from 1 species